rnacentral:rRNA from 1 species
CAAUAGUGUAUAUUAGUGUUGUUGCAGUUGAAGCGCUCGUAGUUGGAUUUUGGACUAGUCUAGUCGGUCGUCCGUAAGGUAUGUACUGGCUAGUUUGGUCUUUUUUCUGAAGAACUGUCAUGCUCUUUACCGGGUGUGGCAGGGAUCCAGAACUUUUACUUUUGAAAAAUUAAGAGUGUUCAAAGCAGGCCUUAGCUUGAAUACAUUAGCAUGGAAUAAUAAAAUAGGACUUACAGUUCUAUUUUGUUGGUUUCUAGAACUGAAGUAAUGAUUAACAGGGAUAGUUGGGAGCAUUAGUAUUUAAUUGUCAGAGGUGAAAUUCUUGGAUUUAUGAAAGACUAACUUCUGCGAAAGCAUUUGCUAAGGAUGUUUUCAUUAAUCAAGAACGAAAGUCGGGGGAUCGAAGAUGAUUAGAUACCGU